rnacentral:rRNA from 1 species
AUUGAACGCUGGCGGCAUGCCUUACACAUGCAAGUCGAACGGCAGCACGGGUGCUUGCACCUGGUGGCGAGUGGCGAACGGGUGAGUAAUACAUCGGAACAUGUCCUGUAGUGGGGGAUAGCCCGGCGAAAGCCGGAUUAAUACCGCAUACGAUCUACGGAUGAAAGCGGGGGACCUUCGGGCCUCGCGCUAUAGGGUUGGCCGAUGGCUGAUUAGCUAGUUGGUGGGGUAAAGGCCUACCAAGGCGACGAUCAGUAGCUGGUCUGAGAGGACGACCAGCCACACUGGGACUGAGACACGGCCCAGACUCCUACGGGAGGCAGCAGUGGGGAAUUUUGGACAAAGGGCGAAAGCCUGAUCCAGCAAUGCCGCGUGUGUGAAGAAGGCCUUCGGGUUGUAAAGCACUUUUGUCCGGAAAGAAAUCCUUGGCCCUAAUACGGUCGGGGGAUGACGGUACCGGAAGAAUAAGCACCGGCUAACUACGUA